rnacentral:RNase_P_RNA from 1 species
GAUGGCAGAUGAUCGCCGGUGAGUCCCGCGUUGGCGGGAUUUGCUGGAGGAAAGUCCGAACACCACACGGCAGCAUGCCGCGUAGAAUACGCGGGCAGCCCCGACCCAAGUCGGGGUUGACGGAAAGUGUCACAGAAAAGACACCGCCGGUUCUUUGACAGGAAACUGUAGGGGAAGCUGAGAGCUUCCCGCUUGAGCAGGCAAGGGUGAAAAGGCGAGGUAAGAGCUCACCGCGUUCCGUGCAAGCGGGACGGCAGGAAAAACCCCAUGCGGUGCAAGACAAAACAGAGGAAGGACAGCCGGUCCGACCGCCCCGAAAAACUUUCGGGGUUAAUCCUCGGGUAUGUCGCUUAGAUAAAUGAUCAUCCCGAUCCCGCGUCUGCGGGACCGCGACAGAAUUCGGCUUAUCGCCAUCUAAA